UAGCCCGCCGCAGGGCGCACACGAGCCACGCCCCCUAGAACCGCCCCCCUCAUCACAGCCAAUCACAGUCCACGUCCCUGCUUCCCGCGGGUCAGUAGCUGCCCGGGCGGUGCGCCAGCCCUCUGAUGUGAGGGUCUCUCCGACACCCGACAGGAUACAGAGAACAAUUAACUACAGUAUAGCCCUUGUGAAGGAAAUCUCCCUGAAGGCCGGGGCCCUAAAAUAGGCUCCAAGUUCCGGAACCAAAUAUCACAAAUGGAGUAAUUCAUCAGAAAAAAAAAAGGUUUAUUUUGUUCAUAGUUCUGGGAGUCCAAGUGCAUGGUACAGGUGUCAGCUUAGCUUCUGCUGAGAUCCUCCCUGCUGGCUUGGGGACUCUACACUUCUGAGACUGUACCAAGCCUUUGUAAGAAGAUGUGUUAAGUCCUGUUUUCUACGACAAGGUGCUGAUGAGUGAUCUUGGCUAGAGUUUCAAUAGAGCAUGGAUAUCUUUAAGAGUGAGGGAGACAUUUAAGUAUUGUGUUUACUUGCUCCACAUGUCAUAUCAGGCCCUUGUUACAUCCUGUCAGCGACCAGUUACGAGAUAACAAUCAGUGCGCUGUGUUGUGUCAGAGGAGGACAGACCAGGUACCGAAGCUGUGGCUGUGGAACUGGACAGGAAAUUCCGUAACAACCACACACAGAAGCCAAGUAUUGGAGACUGGAACUGAAACACAUCAAAAGACAGAAAGGACCACCCCCUCCACUGCUCCAGUUUCUGUACUCAUGUAAAUCCCCUUAGGAGUCCAGUUGAGAGGCCAGGGCUUCAUUCUAACUACAUGAGUGACACCAAAUGAAGCCAGCAAUGAAACUGUCCAACUGAGCCCAGUGACCCCACAGCAUCAUGAAAGAGAAUAAAUCGGAUGCUUUGCCAUUAAUAUUUUAAUCUAGACAAAUUGUAUUUGUGGUGUAUAAUGUACAUGCACACUAUAAAAUCAGUCAUCUAUCUUAUCUAUUACCUCAUGUAUAUUUAGCACAACUCUUGCUUAUGCUUUGGGGUGGUUUAUUUCACAAAACCAAACAAUUUUGACUGUCUGAAUGACUCUCCUAUCCGUAUGGAGUGCCCAAUCCCAAGUGACUUUGUAGAUGUUAAAAGGCUCCACUGACUGGCUAGCAGUGUAGCACCACCAGAUUUCAAGUUUUCAGAGAAAAGCAUGCCAACUGAAGCUGCCGAGCGAGGGAAGGCAAGAAAGAAGGCACAGAAAGAACUCUUAACCCACUUGCCAAUUUGGCCCGGAGCAGCUCUAACAGGAACUGCUUCACUUGUGCCAACAGCCCCGGUGUUCUUCUUUACAGGUAAGUGCCUUCCCUGAGGUGAACCCAAGUUUUGAAACAGUGAGUUACACAGUGCCAACCUUUCCAUCAAGCCAAGACACAUGACUAGUUCUCCCAAGGUUAUUUGGGUUUUAAUUUCUG